CAAUAGCGUAUAUUAAAGUUGUUGCGGUUAAAAAGCUCGUAGUUGGAUCUCGGCAGGCAGGGGGUGGUUCGCUCUUAGCGCUACUGCCCCAUUUGCCUGUGUGAUUGGCGGAGGUUUCGGGGUGCUCUUCGUUGAGUGACCCGGGGCGCCGUCAGGUUUACUUUGAAAAAAUUAGAGUGCUCAAAGCAGGCUUUUCACGCUUGAAUAUUCGUGCAUGGAAUAAUGGAAUAGGAACUCGUUUCUAUUUUGUUGGUUUUCGGAAAUCGAGUUAAUGAUUAAUAGGGACAAUUGGGGGCAUUAGUAUUCAGACGACAGAGGUGAAAUUCUUGGACCGUCUGAAGACUAACUACUGCGAAAGCAUUUGCCAAGGAUGUUUUCAUUAA
rnacentral:rRNA from 1 species